AUGCAAAUCAGCCUGAAGCUCUUUAUGCAUAUGUGAAUAUCCAUAUCGCAGCAUUCGCAUGCCUCCCCGGCAUAGACAGGUAAGA
rnacentral:sRNA from 3 species